rnacentral:lncRNA from 1 species
CUCGGCCUUCCAAAGUGCUGGGAUUACAGGUGUGACCCAUCAUGCCUGGCCUGGUUUUGCCUCCUACUUCUCUGGCGAGUCUGUCUUGACUUCCCUGAUAGGUCCCAAGGCUCUGUGUAUAGCCCUCUUUUCUCUGCACAUUAUACACUCCCUGGGUUACAGACCUCAUCCAUUCCUGUGGCUUCCGUUAACCUCUCUGGGCUGAAGGAUUCCUGAACUGCUAUUUUCAGUCAGACCUUUCCUAAACUCCUGACCCAUAAAACUGAUGAACGGCCCCUUGGCCAUCUCCAUCUGGAUGUCCCUCAGGUAUCUCACCUUCAACAUUUCCACACCUCAGUGCCUCACCUUCCUCUUCAAUCUGCGGCUUCCCACUGUGUUCGCCGCCUUAGCUGAUGGCCAACUGGCAGCAGCCAACUGGCCACCCUUGGCUCCUCCUCCUCUCCUCAGUCAACCUUCUAGUAGUUUCUCCAGCCCAUGGCCUCCCCAGCUGUAGCUUGGGCUCCCCAGCAGUCUCCUUGUUAAUGACCCUCUCCCUUCUCAUCCAUUCUUUACACAGCUGCCCACGGCAUCUUUGUAAAGUGAAAAUUUGACUGUUUCUUUCUUGCUUAAAGUCUUUAAAAGGCUCCUUACUCUCUACCAGAGAAAUGCAAACUUCUGUGCCUGGCAUUUUAACUGGGCCCUGUUUACCUUACCUACCUUGUCUCUAGCACUCUGUCCUUGUUUUCCCUCUGCAAUCGAGCAGUACUGACCAGCUGCAGUUCCCUGAGCAUGCCAGCCUGUUUCAUGCCCUGUACUUUUAUACAUUAGGUUUCUACUGCCAGCCCCGCCACUCUGUUCACCUAGCACUUACUAACCCUUUGAAGGUUUGCUAACUACUGUUGAAUUAAAACUACUGUUGAAUUAAAUUAGUCAAUACAACAUUUCCCCUGACUUUGUGGGCUCUGGGAAUGGUUCAAGUGAACAUGACAAGGGCCCAUCCUCAAAGAGCCUAAAUCGAGUAAACCUGGAUGGCAGCUUUGGUCAAUGGAACCAAGAGCAUCAGAAACUAUAGUAGGCUGGGGCUGGGGGAAGGGGCGACAACAGCUGCAGGAAGGAAUUCCUAUCAACCCCUAAAAGGCAGUCAGUGGAGUGAAGUGACGGAGGAGGGGGAGACAGGGCUUCCAUGUAUGGCUGAUUGUACUUCAGUCAGCAGUUGCCUUCUGUUUUUUGGGCCAAGAAUGCCAUCAGAGGUGCCUCUCCAGGGAGACCAGAGAUCAAACAGGCCGCGAUGCUCACCCUCCCUCAGCGGCAUGGUCCCGUCCCUUGCGUGCUUCACUGAGACGGACCUCGCUCUUUUGGCCCUAGCUGCGUGGCAGUCAUUCAAGCUGCAGGAUCUAGAACUGGGCUGCCUGGGUUUGAAUCCUUGAUUCUCUCUCCCCAGCUGCAUGACCACAGGCAGAGAGCUCCAAGAGGGCACAUUCGGGUCUGGUCAUAGCUGUGCACUUGAAUCCCAUCAAGAGGCUGGAAUGGAGUAGAGGCCUCAGUGUACACGGCUGCAGGAGACUAGGUAGAAAGGUGAGCUGGACUCAUGGCCAGGUGCUAGCUAAUAUAGCCCCUGCAUGAGAGAAGAGAGGCCUCAUCCCCGGUUCAGUCCUUGGCUCCUCACGCUCUCUUGAUGGAGCAGGGCCCCUGAAAAGGUGGAAGUCAUCUUCUUCCGUGAUCGUAAGCAAUCCCUCGCCUGGUUCAAGGGAGGCCUCUCCUGUUCUGAUCACCACAUCAUCCACCCACCCAUCCAUCCAUUCCACGUUUCCUGAGGGCAUCCUGUGUGUGCUGGACACCGGAGUUACAACAGGGAACAAGUCUUGGUCUCUGUCCUUAAGAAGCACCCCAUCGAAUGGUGCAGACAUGGACAAAGUCAGUCACGAUCAGUGUGGACUGUGGUGCGAGGGAGGAGAGAAACACUCAGAUGGCUCCAGAAUGCCUCUCAACUCUGCAAGUCUGUGUGAUGCCCGUGUCCCUUUGAUUUACUUUUCUUCAAAAUGAAUAUAUUUUAAAAUGUAUUUACAUUUCUUCAUUUCAUUAAAAAAGAUAUCCAUAACAUAGCUUUACAGCCCUUUUCUCUCCACCACAGGGUGUAGGGGUGAUUUCCGAGGAAGUGGCCCCAUGGGUGAGGGCCAUGGUUAGCCCUUGGGGAAGAGAACAGCUUGCAUUAUGUGAUCUGAAGAGUUAACACAGGCAGAGUGCCCACUGGUUUUCAAGAAGCAUUACCUGAUUAGGGAGCUGUAAAGGCAUCCACAGGUGCCCUGUCUAGCCACAGCCAGGACCACAGUUCCCCACAGUCCCCCGGGCUCCUCUCCUACUGGCACAUGCCUCCAUCUAAGAGACAGCAUUCACUGAAUCCUGCUUCUCCUGAGAGCCGGUGAUGAUGGGGGUGCCAAGAUUCUCAGCGGGAGGUAGCUAUGUCUGAAAUCCAGGGCUAUAUUCUAGCUUGGCCACUGGUCAGAAAUUCACGCCAUGAUGUACUUUUAGUUCUUUCUCUGUCCUGUCAUUCUACAGCUGAGACACAGGGUGGCAAGAAGAACCCUGGGCUGGGAGCCAGGGGGCUCGGGUUCCAGUCCUAGUUCUGCCUGCCUGUGGAGCCUUGGACAUGCUGCCUCCCCUUUUUGAGCUGCAGUUUUGUCCUGUGUUACAGAAGGCUCUUGGCUCCUCUCCCUGCCUCACCAGGGGUCUGAGGAUCUAAUCCAAGAGGUGGGACAGGGCUUAGAGAAGUUAUUAAGGCCACAUGGGGGAAAGCACUGCUAUCAGCACAUGGGGCAUAAGCCAGAAAGCAUUUCCAGAGGGUCCCUAGGCUGCUCAGUCAAGAGAUCUGCAGGUUUCAGGAUUUACUGGGUAUUUACUAUGUGCCUGGCAAUGUUUUAGGCAAGCUAUAAAGGGCUUAGAACAUGUACAAGUCUCUGAGGUAAGCACUACUAUCAUCUCCACUUUACAGAUGAGAAAACUAAGUCACAGAUUAAAGUAACUUGCUCAAGGUCACCUGCGCUUGGCAAUUCAGCUCCAAGUCUGUGCUCUUAGCCAUCAUGCUACACUGCCUCAUAGCUUCCUCUCUGCCAAUCAGCUGGGCUCUUGACAGUCUUCACCUUGAAGGGUGCUGAGCUUUGUGUCCAGAUGCCAAUGAAUGUCGGACGACAGAUGGACUAUAGACUCUCGUGCUUACUUAUGUCAAGUGACCUGGGUUCUCACCCUAGUUCUUCUAAUGAUUUGCUAUGUAAUUUUGAACAAGUUUUUGGGCUUGACUUUCUUGGCCGGAAUCAUCAUUUUGAUUUCACAUGAUCUUAGUGAGGCAAGAACAAUAAGAGUAACAUCCAACAUGUACUGAUUGCUUACCACAUGCCAAGAACGGCGUUUAACAUUUUACAUCACUAUCUCAUUUAACCUUCCGAACAAUCCAGUGAGACUGGCACCAUUAUGGAGCCUACUUUACAGAUGAGAAAGCUGAUGUAAACAGAGGUCCUGGCCAACUCCACCUAGUAGAGUACAGUUGGGAUUUGAACCCAAGCAGCUGGACUCAGAUAGUUGUUCUUUAUCCCUUAUCAUAUUGCUACUAUAACUAAGUCUUUUGGGCUCCACCACCCUACCUUAUGAUGAUAUCACAGAACACCAUUAAGGUUCCUUCCCAAGGCUUAUUAGCUCUAGUAAGGAAAGUUAACAGAGCCACUCAAUUUGGAAGAAAUAGUAUACAGGCUAAUGAGAGAAAAAAAUAAGUUCACAGAUCUGAUAAAGAAAUCAUAUAAAUGUACAAAGAAUGCUUCUGAAGCAGCAAGAUCUGGAGGUGUCAGUGUCUCUUUACAAAUGAAGAAACUAGGGAUCAGAGAGCCAGAACUAGAAUUCACAUCAUCAGACUCCAGGCCAGUGCUCAUUUCAUUUCGUCAGCUGUCUUGGGAGGCAAAUUAAAGGGAGCUUCUGUUUGGUAAAAGUCUAUUUUACACUGGGCUCUGAGAAUGACACUUUCCAUACAUCACUCUUUGGGUCCCAGGUACACUGGCUACGUAGCUUAAAGUCCAGGGCUCUCUUGGAUUUUGAAGGCAGGUCUCAAACAUGCCUGUCAUGUGGCUAUAAAGUGUCUACGCAAAACACAGAUUCUAUAAUGAGUUGACCCACAGGGCUAGCACAGGCAGGAGUUUCAUAGAAGCACCACCUAUGAUUUAAAAAUAAAAUACAUGGUUGUUUUUAUGGAGCUUCUCAUGCCUCUCAUCUCCCAAUGUGAAAUGGGGACACACUGGCAAGUUUCCAAUCCAGCUUCCUAGAGCAGCUGAGAACAACGGUAUCACAGUGAGGAGUUGAGAGACUGGAUUGAUUCUGGUUUUAUUUCUUCCCCUAAUAGGUGACCUUAGAUAAGCCUAAGAAUGCUGUAGGGCCUCAGUUUUCUCAUCUGAAAAGUGGGUCUAAUUUAGCAUCCAUGCUAUCUUCCCCAUAGGAUCAAAUGGGAGAGUAGAUGGGGCACUGCUAUGGUAAGUAGGAAGUGACGAAUAAAUACAAGUCAAGGAAUAGGCACUUGCUGUGUGCUCACCAUGAUGUGAUGACAUAAGUGAUGAGCACACAGCAUCGUCACUUGAUGCUCACCAUAACCUAAGAUAUGGGUUGGAGGGCUUUCACCUUGAGGCAAGAGAGCUGAAACUUCAAGGGGUAAAGUUUACCUGCCUAGGGCCAGUAGAAAGUAGAAGCACCGGAACCUGAAGCAAAGAAUGGUUGCUCCAGAGCUCUGUCCACCACAGUGCACUGCCUCCGAGGGUGGUGGUGUUACUUCCUUCUGAGUGAGGCAUGCACUGAAGGAUGCCAACAUCAUCCUGCACUGGGGUGAAUUUGUCUCCCAUUCAGUUGUGCCAACUAAAAAAUUACUUGCAUUAUUAGUCUUUUAACAAGCCCCCUCUCCUUUCUACAUCAGCAAGUCAGUAGAUACUUUCCUUCUACUUCUACUGUGUAUGAAGACAUAUGAAGACAGCUUGGAUAAGGAGAUUAUAAUUUGUAAUUAAAUAUUAACCUUUCUGACAGUAUUAAAAUUAAACCACUCAGAAUUCUUCAUCCCUAAUCAGGUGGUUCCUGCCCAUAACUACAUCUUCCCUAAUAGUCCUGCUAGUUUAUGGCCCUUUCCAGAGUGCUAAUUGUUUCAAUCGCUGCCAACCUGAUGAAUUGACUUAAAAAUGCUAUCUCGGUCGGAGCGCAUUAGCAUGCUAUGCGCUGCUUCUUGCUUGCCUGCUUGUCAAGUGGGUCUGCUCCAGGUUUGGUGGAGGCAGAGCACAGCUACUGGCAGAGCUAGGGGGAGUUUAAGAGCCUUCAGCCAUUUAUGAAGCAGAAGGGGGCUCAGGAGGACACAAUCUGAGCUACCUUGUUUCUGUGGCUGCCAGUGGGGCAGGCAAGCCAGAAAGAGAACAGGAGUCCAAGACUCUGUGCUGCUGGGGCCACUUGGCUGGCAGAGGCCCAAGAAACUCCUCAUUGCCUUGGCCAGGGAGGCUUUCCUUAGAAAGGCAAGAGCAUCUGGGGUCUCGGGCGACCUCCUGCCCUGGAUGCUGGGAAGGCUGGUAGGAGAAUGUUUGGCUUUCAGUGAAAUGUUUUUGCACUCUCUCCGAGGACUGCUGUCUCUGCACAAAAGCAUUUCCUUUCUCCCUAAAAAGUUAAACUGAGCAGGCCUUGGAAAGCCUGAGUGUGAACAAACAGGGGAUGGGGAUGGCCCUCUCCUGUGGAGAAUCCAGGGCUCUGAGCCAUGGAGGAAGGGGGACUAUAAGUAUCCCAGGCUCAAGACAUAAGAAACCAUGUUUAAAAGCUCAUGCAGGAUAGUGAGAGGCAACAAGGCAUCCUCUUAUUCCCACUUGUUUUCUCCUACAGCCCCCAAGACUCCCAUUAGCACAGCCAUGACUGCACUGAACAGUAAUGUUGUCUUUCUGAAGCUGUUUCCCCCUCCAACCUGAGCUCCUUGGAGCAGGGGGAGUGUCUUAAUAAAUGCUGUAUUAGCAGCAUCUAGUACAACACCUGGCAUGGCACAGAUGCUUGAAAAUGUUGUAUGGUAGAUCUCACUUUGUUUCCUCAAGAGUCAGGCAGGGCAAGGAUUAUUAUUCCUAUUUUACAGAUGAAGAAACUGAGGCACAAAGAGGUGGGAUAACUUGCCCAAAUCUCUGGAGCAACUGGUGGCCAAGUUGGGGCCAGAGCUGAGGUCUGCUUCCUGGGUCAGGGCCCAUCUUUUUGAUUGCCUAUUACUGAAUUCAGAGGGUCAGAUUUUUUGGGAUAGCAGGAAUGGUGAGGUCUCCACGAUCUGCAGAUCAGACCUAGGUCCCA